GGCAUAUGAAUAUACAGCACAUUUUUAGUUUUGUAAGAGAAAAUAUAAACAGUGGGUGAGCGUUGCUUGAGAGUUACUGAACAUUUGACUUUGUCACAAUGGCAGAGUUAGAAAACAUAAACACAGCAUUUGUACAUUAGUGACAUGGAGAUAUCGGCACAUUUUUUAAAAGUUAAGUUGUAGUUUGUAUGCUAAGUUACACUUUUAUGAGCUUUAGUCUUGU